rnacentral:rRNA from 1 species
AUUGAACGCUGGCGGCAUGCCUUACACAUGCAAGCCGAACGGUAACAGGUCUUCGGAUGCUGACGAGUGGCGAACGGGUGAGUAAUACAUCGGAACGUGCCUAGUAGUGGGGGAUAACUACUCGAAAGAGUGGCUAAUACCGCAUGAGAUCUACGGAUGAAAGCAGGGGAUCGCAAGACCUUGUGCUACUAGAGCGGCCGAUGGCAGAUUAGGUAGUUGGUGGGAUAAAAGCUUACCGAGCCGACGAUCUGUAGCUGGUCUGAGAGGACGAUCAGCCCCACUGGGACUGAGACACGGCCCAGACUCCUACGGGAGGCAGCAGUGGGGAAUUUUGGACAAUGGGCGAAAGCCUGAUCCAGCAAUGCCGCGUGCAGGAUGAAGGCCUUCGGGUUGUAAACUGCUUUUGUACGGAACGAAAAGCCCUGGGUUAAUACCCUGGGGUCAUGACGGUACCGUAAGAAUAAGCACCGGCUAACUACGUGCCAGCAGCCGCCGUAACAC